AUGAAAGUCACCAAAGAGGGCGGUGAAUUACCCGCUAUCACCCACGGGCCGGGGGUGAGCGGAGGCUCUUACAGCCUUGGGAUCGGGGGACCGAGGGGACGGGCAGGGCUUGUCCACACAAGUCAGCACCUGGCCUUAGCCUGGCUCUGGGGUGCGCAGGUGGGAGCGCCGUGCCCCAGCCCCGGGGAGCCCCUCGAGGCGGGCGGCGCCGGACGGCCGGGCCCGGGGGCUCACUCUGCCCCACGUGGAGACGGCUGCCCGUUUCCGUCGCCCUCCCCGCCCGACGACGGGCCUGCUGCCCGGAGACCGAGCGCCCGGGGGUGGGGGCCAGCGACCAGGGUGCGGCGUGCGCGCACGGGCCGCGGGUCCUCGUCGCUGCUCCCUCCGAGGCCGGCGACGCGAUCAGGUCCGUCCCAACACCCUCUUGCCCCCUCGUGCUUGGGGAGCCUCCCUUCCGGCGCGUCUCCAGGCCGCCCCGGACUUCCCUACGUUCCCGCAUUUAUAGGAUUGAGAAACGGAAGAAUCUGGCGGGAGAAGGGACGUGGGGCUGCCAGGCCCGCGCGGACGCCGAGGCGGGAGCCGCACCUCGCGCUUUCGUUGGAGAUGGGCGCCCUGGGGUGGAGGGGGCGCUUCCGAGGCCUUGCCCAGAGAGCCCACACUUCAGCGCGUCCCUACUCAACGGAUAGAGACCGAGGUGCCCCGUACGGAAGCGACUCGCUGCGGCCCGCCGGGAGCGGGGAGCAACCUCCCAGCGGCGCGGGGCCCGGCGCCUCCUCCGCCCCUCUCGGGGCCGCCCACCCCGGCGCCCGCCCGCUGGUCCCCACCCGCCGGAGCGCUAGGCCAAUCGGGCCGGCGGGAGCGGGAACGUCGCUCCUCGGGUCCGGCCCGGCUCUAGAUAAGCCUGGAAUGUCAAAUAUUUGUUCGGGGGGCGGGGCCCGCCGGGGAGCGAGGCUGCCCCCUGGCGGCGGGGAGCGCGCGUGCGCCUGGCGGAGUCGGCCUUCCGUCCUCGGCCGCAAGCGCCUUCGCCCCCUCGGCCUGCAUCGCUCCCUGUCGGGCUCCCGUCGGGGCUCCAGCUUCCAGGGGACAGUCCUGGCGGCACCGCCUUGCCGGCGGAGCGCUCGAUCUCGACCUCAGCCUUCCCGGAGCCCCCGUCCAUUAAACCGUUAG
rnacentral:lncRNA from 1 species